rnacentral:rRNA from 1 species
UACGGGGGGGGUAAGCGUUGUUCGGAAUUACUGGGCGUAAAGGGCUCGUAGGCGGCCAACUAAGUCAGACGUGAAAUCCCUCAGCUUAACUGGGGAACUGCGUCUGAUACUGGAUGGCUUGGAUUCGGGAGAGGAAUGCGGAAUUCCAGGUGUAGCGGUGAAAUGCGUAGAUAUCGCUUGGAACGCCAAAGGCGAAAACAGGUUGCUGGGGUGGUACCGACGCUGAGACACGAAAGCCAGGGGAGCAAACGGG